GACGUAGGGAGCGAGCGUUGUCCGGAUUCAUUGGGCGUAAAGAGCGCGCAGGCGGUUUGGUAAGUCGGAUGUGAAAACCCGGGGCUCAACCCCGGGCGUGCAUCUCGAUACUGCCCCGACUAGAGGUAGGUAGGGGAGAUCGGAAUUCCUGGUGUAGCGGUGAAAUGCGCAGAUAUCAGGAGGAACACCGGUGGCGAAGGCGACUUCCUGGCCUGUUCUUGACGCUGAGGCGCGAAAGCUAGGGUAGCAAACGGG
rnacentral:rRNA from 1 species